GACGAACGCUGGCGGCGUGCUUAACACAUGCAAGUCGAGCGGUAAGGCCCUUUCGGGGGUACACGAGCGGCGAACGGGUGAGUAACACGUGGGUGACCUGCCCUCAGCUCUGGGAUAAGCCUGGGAAACCGGGUCUAAUACCGGAUAUGACUCCACUGACGCAUGUUGUGGGGUGGAAAGCCUUGUGCGGCUGAGGAUGGGCCCGCGGCCUAUCAGCUUGUUGGUGGGGUGAUGGCCUACCAAGGCGACGACGGGUAGCCGGCCUGAGAGGGCGACCGGCCACACUGGGACUGAGACACGGCCCAGACUCCUACGGGAGGCAGCAGUGGGGAAUCUUGCGCAAUGGGCGAAAGCCUGACGCAGCGACGCCGCGUGAGGGAUGACGGCCU
rnacentral:rRNA from 1 species